AGAGUUUGAUCCUGGCUCAGGACGAACGCUGGCGGCGUGCUUAACACAUGCAAGUCGAGCGGGGAUAACGUUGGAAGUCCUUCGGGGUGGAAGAUGUUAUUCCAGCGGCGGACGGGUGAGUAACGCGUGAACAAUCUGUCCCAGACAGGGGGAUAACACUUGGAAACAGGUGCUAAUACCGCAUAAGACCACGUUUUCGCAUGGGGAUGAGGUAAAAGGAGCAAUCCGGUUUGGGGUGAGUUCGCGUCCGAUUAGAUAGUUGGUGAGGUAACGGCCCACCAAGUCGACGAUCGGUAGCCGACCUGAGAGGGUGAUCGGCCACAUUGGAACUGAGAGACGGUCCAAACUCCUACGGGAGGCAGCAGUGGGGGAUAUUACGCAAUGGGGGAAACCCUGACGUAGCAAUGCCGCGUGAAGGAUGAAGGUUUUCGGAUUGUAAACUUCUUUUGUUAAGGACGAUAAUGACGGUACUUAACGAAUAAACUCCGGCUAACUAUGUGCCAGCAGCCGCGGUAAUACAUAGGGAGCAAGCGUUAUCCGGAUUUACUGGGUGUAAAGGGUGCGUAGGCGGCAAGGCAAGUCAGAUGUGAAAUCUAUGGGCUUAACCCAUAGCCUGCAUUUGAAACUGUUUUGCUUGAGUGAAGUAGAGGCAGGCGGAAUUCCCGGUGUAGCGGUGAAAUGCGUAGAGAUCGGGAGGAACACCAGUGGCGAAGGCGGCCUGCUGGGCUUUAACUGACGCUGAGGCACGAAAGCGUGGGUAGCAAACAGGAUUAGAUACCCUGGUAGUCCACGCUGUAAACGAUGAUUAUUAGGUGUGGGUGGACUGACCCCAUCCGUGCCGCAGUUAACACAAUAAGUAAUCCACCUGGGGAGUACGACCGCAAGGUUGAAACUCAAAGGAAUUGACGGGGGCCCGCACAAGCAGUGGAGUAUGUGGUUUAAUUCGAAGCAACGCGAAGAACCUUACCAGGUCUUGACAUCCAACUAACGAAGUAGAGAUACAUCAGGUGCCCUUCGGGGAAAGUUGAGACAGGUGGUGCAUGGUUGUCGUCAGCUCGUGUCGUGAGAUGUUGGGUUAAGUCCCGCAACGAGCGCAACCCUUGCUAUUAGUUGCUACGCAAGAGCACUCUAAUAGGACUGCCGUUGACAAAACGGAGGAAGGUGGGGACGACGUCAAAUCAUCAUGCCCCUUAUGACCUGGGCUACACACGUACUACAAUGGCCAUUAACAAAGGGAAGCAACAUCGCAAGGUAGAGCAAACCCCCAAAAAUGGUCCCAGUUCAGAUUGUAGGCUGCAACUCGCCUAUAUGAAGUUGGAAUUGCUAGUAAUCGCGAAUCAGAAUGUCGCGGUGAAUACGAUCCCGGGCCUUGCACACACCGCCCGUCA
rnacentral:rRNA from 1 species